rnacentral:rRNA from 1 species
ACGCGAAGAACCUUACCUGGGCUAGAAACGGCAGGAAUCUGGGUGAAAACUCGGAGUGUCCUUCGGGAAAUCUGUCGCUAGGUGCUGCAUGGCAUGUCGUCAGCUCGUGUCGUGAGAUGUUGGGUUAAGUCCCGCAACGAGCGCAACCCCCUGUUGCUAGUUGCCAGCAGUUCGGCUGGGCACUCUAGCAAGACUGCCGGUCGUUAAGCCGGAGGAAGGUGGGGAUGACGUCAAGUCCUCAUGGCCCUUAUGUCCAGGGCUACACACGUGCUACAAUGGACGGCACAAAGGGCUGCGAGCCCGCGAGGGUGAGCGAAUCCCAAAAAACCGUCCUCAGUAAAGAGUCUGCAACUCGACUCUUUGAAGUUGGAUCGCUA